CGGAUUGCAGGCUGCAACCCGCCUGCAUGAAGUUGGAAUCGCUAGUAAUCGCGGAUCAGCAUGCCGCGGUGAAUACGUUCCCGGGCCUUGUACACACCGCCCGUCACACCAUGAGAGUCGGGAACACCCGAAGUCCGUAGCCUGACCGCAAGGGGGGCGCGGCCGAAGGUGGGUUCGAUAAUUGGGGUGAAGUCGUAACAAGGUAUC
rnacentral:rRNA from 1 species